rnacentral:rRNA from 1 species
UACGAAGGGGGCUAGCGUUGUUCGGAAUUACUGGGCGUAAAGCGCACGUAGGCGGGUCGUUAAGUCGGGGGUGAAACCCUGGAGCUCAACUCCAGAACUGCCUUCGAUACUGGCGAUCUCGAGUCCGGAAGAGGUGAGUGGAACUCCUAGUGUAGAGGUGGAAUUCGUAGAUAUUAGGAAGAACACCAGUGGCGAAGGCGGCUCACUGGUCCGGUACUGACGCUGAGGUGCGAAAGCGUGGGGAGCAAACAGG